UAAGUAUAAGCACUUUAUACUGUGAAACUGCGAAUGGCUCAUUAAAUCAGUUAUCGUUUAUUUGAUAGUACCUUACUACAUGGAUACCUGUGGUAAUUCUAGAGCUAAUACAUGCUGAAAACCUCGACUUCGGAAGGGGUGUAUUUAUUAGAUAAAAAACCAAUGCCCUUCGGGGCUCCUUGGUGAAUCAUAAUAACUUAACGAAUCGCAUGGCCUUGCGCCGGCGAUGGUUCAUUCAAAUUUCUGCCCUAUCAACUUUCGAUGGUAGGAUAGUGGCCUACCAUGGUGGCAACGGGUAACGGGGAAUUAGGGUUCGAUUCCGGAGAGGGAGCCUGAGAAACGGCUACCACAUCCAAGGAAGGCAGCAGGCGCGCAAAUUACCCAAUCCCGACACGGGGAGGUAGUGACAAUAAAUACUGAUACGGGGCUCUUUUGGGUCUCGUAAUUGGAAUGAGUACAAUCUAAAUCCCUUAACGAGGAACAAUUGGAGGGCAAGUCUGGUGCCAGCAGCCGCGGUAAUUCCAGCUCCAAUAGCGUAUAUUAAAGUUGUUGCAGUUAAAAAGCUCGUAGUUGAACCUUGGGUCUGGCUGGCCGGUCCGCCUCACCGCGAGUACUGGUCCGGCUGGACCUUUCCUUCUGGGGAAUCUCAUGGCCUUCACUGGCUGUGGGGGGAACCAGGACUUUUACUGUGAAAAAAUUAGAGUGUUCAAAGCAGGCCUUUGCUCGAAUACAUUAGCAUGGAAUAAUAGAAUAGGACGUGCGGUUCUAUUUUGUUGGUUUCUAGGACCGCCGUAAUGAUUAAUAGGGAUAGUCGGGGGCGUCAGUAUUCAGCUGUCAGAGGUGAAAUUCUUGGAUUUGCUGAAGACUAACUACUGCGAAAGCAUUCGCCAAGGAUGUUUUCAUUAAUCAGGGAACGAAAGUUAGGGGAUCGAAGACGAUCAGAUACCGUCGUAGUCUUAACCAUAAACUAUGCCGACUAGGGAUCGGACGGUGUUUCUAUUAUGACCCGUUCGGCACCUUACGAGAAAUCAAAGUUUUUGGGUUCUGGG
rnacentral:rRNA from 1 species